rnacentral:rRNA from 1 species
AGGCUUGCUUCUUGGGUUAGUGGCGAACGGGUGAGUAAUACAUCGGAACGUACCCAGUUGUGGGGGAUAACGUAGCGAAAGUUACGCUAAUACCGCAUACGCACUGAGGUGGAAAGCGGGGGACCUUCGGGCCUCGCGCAAUUGGAGCGGCCGAUGUCGGAUUAGCUAGUUGGUAGGGUAAAAGCCUACCAAGGCGACGAUCCGUAGCUGGUCUGAGAGGACGACCAGCCACACUGGAACUGAGACACGGUCCAGACUCCUACGGGAGGCAGCAGUGGGGAAUUUUGGACAAUGGGCGAAAGCCUGAUCCAGCCAUGCCGCGUGAGUGAAGAAGGCCUUCGGGUUGUAAAGCUCUUUCAGACGGAAAGAAAUUGCUUCGGUUAAUAACUGGAGUAGAUGACGGUACCGUAAGAAGAAGCACCGGCUAACUACGUGCCAGCAGCCGCGGUAAUACGUAGGGUGCGAGCGUUAAUCGGAAUUACUGGGCGUAAAGCGUGCGCAGGCGGUUAUAUAAGACAGAUGUGAAAUCCCCGGGCUUAACCUGGGAACUGCGUUUGUGACUGUAUAACUAGAGUACGGUAGAGGGGGGUGGAAUUCCUGGUGUAGCAGUGAAAUGCGUAGAUAUCAGGAGGAACAUCGAUGGCGAAGGCAGCCCCCUGGACCUGUACUGACGCUCAUGCACGAAAGCGUGGGGAGCAAACUGGAUUAGAUACCCUGGUAGUCCACGCCCUAAACGAUGUCUACUAGUUGUUGGGGGAUUCGUCCCUUAGUAACGCAGCUAACGCGUG